rnacentral:snRNA from 1 species
AGCAUUUAAUGCUCAAAAUCU